rnacentral:rRNA from 1 species
ACUGGGUAGGGGACUGGACAUGGGUUCCCUGCCGCAGCGAAAGUGGUAAGUACCCCGCCUGGGGAGUAUGGUCGCAAGGCUGAAACUCAAAGGAAUUGACGGGGGCUCACACAAGCGGUGGAGCAUGUGGCUUAAUUCGAGGCUACGCGAAGAACCUUAUCCUAGGCUUGACAUGUGCGAAAGCGGUGGGGAGUAGGGAGCGGAAACGUUUCCCCAACGGUAUCCAGUCCGGAACCCACUACAGGUGCUGCAUGGCUGCCGUCAGCUCGUGUCGUGAGAUGUUGGGUUAAGUCCCGUAACGAGCGAAACCCUUGUCUCCAGUUGCCAGCGGGUCAUGCCGGGGACUCUGGAGAGACUGCCGGUGUUAAACCGGAGGAAGGCGGGGAUGACGUCAAGUCCUCAUGGCCUUUAUGCCUAGGGCUGCACACGUGCUACAAUGGCGUGAACAAAGGGACGCAAACCCGCGAGGGGGAGCCAAUCCCAAAAAACACGCCCCAGUUCAGAUCGAAGGCUGCAACUCGCCUUCGUGAAGUCGGAAUCGCUAGUAAUCGCGGGUCAGCAACACCGCGGUGAAUGUGUUCCUGAGCCUUGUACACACCGCCCGUCAAGCCACGAAAGAUCGGGGCGUCCGAAGUCGCUGUGCCAACCGCAAGGGGGCAGGCGCCGAAGACAAACG